GGACUACCAGGGUAUCUAAUCCUGUUUGCUCCCCACGCUUUCGUGCCUCAGUGUCAGUAUUGGUCCAGAAAGCCGCCUUCGCCACUGGUGUUCUUCCCGAUAUCUACGCAUUUCACCGCUACACCGGGAGUUCCACUUUCCUCUACCAUACUCUAGAUAGCCAGUAUCGAAUGCAGUUCCCAGGUUAAGCCCGGGGAUUUCACAUCCGACUUAAAUAUCCACCUACACACGCUUUACGCCCAGUAAUUCCGAUUAACGCUUGCACCCUCUGUAUUACCGCGGCGGCUGGCAC
rnacentral:rRNA from 1 species